rnacentral:rRNA from 1 species
UACGUAGGGGGCAAGCGUUGUCCGGAAUUAUUGGGCGUAAAGAGCUCGUAGGCGGUCUGUCACGUCGGCUGUGAAAACCCGAGGCUCAACCUCGGGCCUGCAGUCGAUACGGGCAAACUAGAGUACUGCAGGGGAGACUGGAAUUCCUGGUGUAGCGGUGAAAUGCGCAGAUAUCAGGAAGAACACCGGUGGCGAAGGCGGCUCUCUGGGCCUUACCUGACGCUGAGGAGCGAAAGCGUGGGUAGCGAACAGG